rnacentral:rRNA from 1 species
UACGGGGGGGGCAAGCGUUGUUCGGAAUUACUGGGCGUAAAGGGCUUGUAGGCGGCCAACUAAGUCCGACGUGAAAUCCCCAGGCUUAACCUGGGAACUGCGUCGGAUACUGGAUGGCUUGAAUUCGGGAGAGGGAUGCAGAAUUCCAGGUGUAGCGGUGAAAUGCGUAGAUAUCUGGAGGAACACCGAUGGCGAAGGCAGCCUCCUGGGCCAGCACUGACGCUCAUGCACGAAAGCGUGGGGAGCAAACAGG